CGAACGAGAGAUGAAGAGCUUGCUCUUCAAAUCGAGUGGCGAACGGGUGAGUAACGCGUGAGGAACCUGCCUCAAAGAGGGGGACAACAGUUGGAAACGACUGCUAAUACCGCAUAAGCCCACGGCUCGGCAUCGAGCAGAGGGAAAAGGAGCAAUCCGCUUUGAGAUGGCCUCGCGUCCGAUUAGCUAGUUGGUGAGGUAAUGGCCCACCAAGGCGACGAUCGGUAGCCGGACUGAGAGGUUGAACGGCCACAUUGGGACUGAGACACGGCCCAGACUCCUACGGGAGGCAGCAGUGGGGAAUAUUGCACAAUGGGGGAAACCCUGAUGCAGCGACGCCGCGUGGAGGAAGAAGGUCUUCGGAUUGUAAACUCCUGUUGUUGAGGAAGAUAAUGACGGUACUCGACAAGGAAGUGACGGCUAACUACGUGCCAGCAGCCGCGGUAAAACGUAGGUCACAAGCGUUGUCCGGAAUUACUGGGUGUAAAGGGAGCGCAGGCGGGAGAACAAGUUGGAAGUGAAAUCCAUGGGCUCAACCCAUGAACUGCUUUCAAAACUGUUUU
rnacentral:rRNA from 1 species